CCUACGGGAGGCAGCAGUGGGGAAUAUUGGACAAUGGGCGCAAGCCUGAUCCAGCCAUGCCGCGUGAGUGAUGAAGGUCUUAGGAUUGUAAAGCUCUUUCACCCGUGACGAUAAUGACGGUAGCGGGAGAAGAAGCCCCGGCUAACUUCGUGCCAGCAGCCGCGGUAAUACGAAGGGGGCUAGCGUUGUUCGGAAUUACUGGGCGUAAAGCGCACGUAGGCGGACAUUUAAGUCAGGGGUGAAAUCCCGGGGCUCAACCCCGGAACUGCCUUUGAUACUGGGUGUCUUGAGUUCGGAAGAGGUCGGUGGAAUUGCGAGUGUAGAGGUGAAAUUCGUAGAUAUUCGCAGGAACACCAGUGGCGAAGGCGGCCGACUGGUCCGAGACUGACGCUGAGGUGCGAAAGCGUGGGGAGCAAACAGGAUUAGAUACCCUUGUAGUC
rnacentral:rRNA from 1 species